rnacentral:rRNA from 1 species
AUUCCAGCUCCAAUAGCGUAUAUUAAUGUUGUUGCAGUUAAAAAGCUCGUAGUUGAAUUUCUGGUUAAAAUCUUAGCUGGCUUUGGUCGUUAAUGUUUUAAUCAUCCGUUAGAGAACUAUAACCGUCCUUAACUGGUCAUUAUAGAGAUCUAACAUUUUACUUUGAAAAAAUUAGAGUGUUCAAGGCAGGCAAUCGUCAUGAAUACUAUAGCAUGGAAUAAUGGAAUAGGACUUUGGUUCAUUUUAUUGGUUAUUGAACCUUAGUAAUGAUUAACAGGGACAGUUGGGGGUAUUCAUAUUUACAUGUCAGAGGUGAAAUUCUUGGAUUUUGGAAGGAUGAACUACUGCGAAGGCAUUUACCAAGGAUGUUUUCAUCG